rnacentral:rRNA from 1 species
UACGAAGGGGGCUAGCGUUGCUCGGAAUCACUGGGCGUAAAGGGUGCGUAGGCGGGUCUUUAAGUCAGGGGUGAAAUCCUGGAGCUCAACUCCAGAACUGCCUUUGAUACUGAAGAUCUUGAGUCCGGGAGAGGUGAGUGGAACUGCGAGUGUAGAGGUGAAAUUCGUAGAUAUUCGCAAGAACACCAGUGGCGAAGGCGGCUCACUGGCCCGGUACUGGACGC